rnacentral:rRNA from 1 species
AAUAUUGGUCAAUGGAUGCAACGCUGUGCUAGCCAAGUCGCGUGAAGGAUGACUGCACUACGGGUAAUAAACUUCUUUUUUAAGGGAAUAUAGUCAGCCACGUGUGGCCUCUUGCAUGUACCUUACGAAUAAGGAUCGGCUAACCCCGUUCCAGCAGCCGAGGUAAUACGGAGGAUCUCAGCGUUAUCCGGAUUUAUUGGGUUUAAAGGGUGCGCAGGCGGAAUAUUAAGUCGGCGGUGAAAGUUUGCAGCUUAACUGUAAAAUUGCCGUUGAAACUGGUUUUCUUGAGUGUAUAUGAAAUAGGCGGAAUUUGUAGUGUAGCGGUGAAAUGCAUAGAUAUUACAAGGAACUCCGAUUGCGAAGGCAGCUUACUAAAAUACAACUGACGCUCAGGCACGAAGGCGUGGGUAUCAAACA